rnacentral:rRNA from 1 species
UACGUAGGGUGCGAGCGUUGUCCGGAAUUAUUGGGCGUAAAGGGCUCGUAGGCGGUCCGUCACGUCGGGAGUGAAAACUCGGGGCUCAACCCCGAGCCUGCUUCCGAUACGGGCGGACUAGAGGUAGGUAGGGGAGAAUGGAAUUCCUGGUGUAGCGGCGGAAUGCGCAGAUAUCAGGAGGAACACCGAUGGCGAAGGCAGUUCUCUGGGCCGUAACUGACGCUGAGGAGCGAAAGCGUGGGGAGCGAACAGG